GAUGAACGCUGGCGGCGUGCCUAAUACAUGCAAGUCGAGCGAACGGACGAGAAGCUUGCUUCUCUGAUGUUAGCGGCGGACGGGUGAGUAACACGUGGAUAACCUACCUAUAAGACUGGGAUAACUUCGGGAAACCGGAGCUAAUACCGGAUAAUAUUUUGAACCGCAUGGUUCAAAAGUGAAAGACGGUCUUGCUGUCACUUAUCGAUGGAUCCGCGCUGCAUUAGCUAGUUGGUAAGGUAACGGCUUACCAAGGCAACGAUGCAUAGCCGACCUGAGAGGGUGAUCGGCCACACGGGAACUGAGACACGGUCCAGACUCCUACGGGAGGCAGCAGUAGGGAAUCUUCCGCAAUGGGCGAAAGCCUGACGGAGCAACGCCGCGUGAGUGAUGAAGGUCUUCGGAUCGUAAAACUCUGUUAUUAGGGAAGAACAUAUGUGUAAGUAACUGUGCACAUCUUGACGGUACCUAAUCAGAAAGCCACGGCUAACUACGUG
rnacentral:rRNA from 1 species